AUUGAACGCUGGCGGCAUGCUUUACACAUGCAAGUCGAACGGUAACAGGCCGCAAGGUGCCGACGAGUGGCGAACGGGUGAGUAAUGCAUCGGAACGUGCCCAGUCGUGGGGGAUAACGCAGCGAAAGCUGCGCUAAUACCGCAUACGAUCUAUGGAUGAAAGCGGGGGACCGUAAGGCCUCGCGCGAUUGGAGCGGCCGAUGUCAGAUUAGGUAGUUGGUGGGGUAAAGGCUCACCAAGCCAACGAUCUGUAGCUGGUCUGAGAGGACGACCAGCCACACUGGGACUGAGACACGGCCCAGACCCCUACGGGAGGCAGCAGUGGGGAAUUUUGGACAAUGGGCGCAAGCCUGAUCCAGCAAUGCCGCGUGCAGGAAGAAGGCCUUCGGGUUGUAAACUGCUUUUGUACGGAACGAAACGGUCCUGGUUAAUACCUGGGGCUAAUGACGGUACCGUAAGAAUAAGCACCGGCUAACUACGUGCCAGCCGCCGCGGUAACAC
rnacentral:rRNA from 1 species